rnacentral:tRNA from 4 species
GUGAGCGUAGCUCAGUUGGCAGAGCUCCUGGUUGUGGUCCAGGCGGUCGCCGGUUCAAAUCCGGUCGCUCACCCCA